AGAGGCCCAACCCUAUAUCCAGUGUCUCGUGUGUUUCCUCUGUCGUGUUUAUGGGAAGGGAGACGAGUUCUCUACAUCUUCUUGCGCCUCUACUGCUGACGGGAGGGAAGGGAGCGGAUCUGGUGAUCCGUGGUAACGUAGUUCUCAACACGUUAUCAGCACGCUCUACCUCAACGUUGCUACGGAUCUGAUCUACAUCAAGUCUUCGUCAAGUCGGCAGGUCCCUGGCCUAGCCGAACUGUCCUACGCGACAGACUUCAUUUCCGUUCGUUGAAUCAAGAAACAUGGUAUGAAAAUUAUAGAUUAGAUAUGAAACUGCAUAUGGAUUUACUCUCUACUUCGGCUCCAUGUACUAGCACUUGCAUGAACGAAUGGCAUCUGAAUUAGUUUGGACAAAAACUACUGCCAAUGUGCUC
rnacentral:lncRNA from 1 species